GUGCUCGCUUCAGCAGCAUAUAUACUAAAAUUGGAAUGAAAUAAAGAUUAGCUUGGCCCCUGUGCAGGGAUGACACUUAAAUUUGUGAAUCGUUCCAUAUUUUU